UGCCCUUGAGAAAUUGGCACUGAGCCAUCACCUUGACUGGCUUACUUGGCCAUUUCAAAGGAGUCACACACAGGCCAAUUCAGAAAACAGUCAAGAUGCACCAUACAAAGAAAAUGUUUGCCACAUUCUCAUCACAGGAGAUUCCUGUGAGCUGUGCCCCAAGGAUAAUCUUUAAGUGAUAACGACACUCUGAUGAAGUCAUAA